rnacentral:rRNA from 1 species
GUGUCAGCCGCCGCGGUAAUACGGAGGAUCCAAGCGUUAUCCGGAUUUAUUGGGUUUAAAGGGUGCGUAGGCGGCCUAUCAAGUCAGAGGUGAAAGACGGUAGCUUAACUAUCGCAGUGCCUUUGAAACUGGUGGGCUUGAAUGUACUUGAGGUGGGCGGAAUGUGACAAGUAGCGGUGAAAUGCAUAGAUAUGUCACAGAACCCCGAUUGCGAAGGCAGCUCACUAAAGUAUGAUUGACGCUGAUGCACGAAAGCGUGGGGAUCAAACAGGAUUAGAUACCCGCGUAGUCC